rnacentral:rRNA from 1 species
GACGUAGGGCGCAAGCGUUGUCCGGAUUUAUUGGGCGUAAAGAGCUCGUAGGCGGCUUGUCGCGUCGACUGUGAAAACCUGCGGCUCAACCGUAUGGUCUGCAGUCGAUACGGGCAGGCUAGAGUUCGGUAGGGGAGACUGGAAUUCCUGGUGUAGCGGUGAAAUGCGCAGAUAUCAGGAGGAACACCGGUGGCGAAGGCGGGUCCCUGGACAACACCUGACACUGAGGCACGAAAGCUAGGGGAGCAAACAGG